UAUGAAAGGUAUUUUUGGCCAACCAGCUUCAUGACUGUAGUGAACAAAAUUAAGUUUACACAAAACACAUGCCCUCUUUGCUGUUUAAACACUAUUGUAACACUCCUCUUUACUCACAGAAUCCCGUUGGAGUGUGUGUGUGUGUGUGUGUGUGUGUGUGUGUGUGUGUGUGUGUGUGUGUGUGAUCCUUUCAGCACAUAGUAGGCUCAUAGCAGAGCCGGUUAGAUUUAUAAGCAUAAGUUUACUAGGUUAAUAAUCUGAAAGGGACAGACAGCUAGCUGGCAUCUCCUGACCCCUCUCCCUCCUCUUCCUCCUCUUCAUCUCCUUAACGUUGUGUGGGUACUUUGUCUGCACACUAUUUGUGUGCCUGGUACUCACAGAGGCCAGGAGAGGGUGUCAGGACCCUUAGUACUGAAGUCACAGGCAUCUGUGAGCUGCUGUAUGAUGCUGGAAAUCAAACUCUGGUCCUCUGGAAGAGCAGCCACUGCUCUUAACCUCUGAGCCAUCUCUCUAGACCCUCCUUUUGCUUCCAUUCGGGAAAGGAAACCAUGCUUAUACGAAAUGGAACACUCAUUUAGUGACCUUGGGACAAGAGAGUAAAAAAAGAUGCGGAGCCAGGUGAGUCAUCUUGCAGGUGACCAAGAUGUCCUCAACCACACAAGCAAGAACUUGUGCCAGAAAGGGGCUGGAAAGUCGGGAGCAUGUACUGUUCUUGCAGAGGACAUGAUUCAGUUUUCAGCACCCACUUUGGGUGGCUCCCAACCACCUGUAACCCUAGCUCCAGGGAAUCCAGCACUUUCUCCUGGAACUCACAUGCACUCUUCUAUACAGACACAUAAUUGAAAAUAAAAUCUUUGAAAAAUCUUCUUAAAUAGAAAAGUUAUGUCAAAUUUUUGGUGAUUUGAAACUGGUGAACCCUAUAAGGGUCUUCCUCGGUCUCUGCCCAUAUUUACCUAACUCUGGUCCUGAAUUUCAGAAUCAAGGAGGAAUUGCACCUACCAGGCUAUGAUCUAUUCUACGAUAUAGUUUGUAAAUAUUGAAGUGUGUGUGUGUGUGUGUGUGUGUGUCUGUCUGUCUCUGUGUGAAUUAAAUGAACAUUAAGAUGUUUUAAAUAUAGAAGACAUUGCUAAGUAAAUGAACUCACACACCCUUUUACGUUUCCAGAAUAUUUGUUUUGGGAACUUCAUGAUGGUAUUAACAUUUGGAAGAUUGCAGGAAGUAAAAGACAUCCAUCUUGUGGGAAGGUUAAAAAUCUUUUAUUCUAAAAUUUACUUUGCAAAACUUGGUUUAUCUGCAGCUGGGAGGUAGCUGGUCUGAAAUUCAGUCAAUUUGAACAGUCAUUGCCCUGUUUGAUUUUGACUCUGUGGGGCUAGUGAGUCUACUACAUGUGGGUGGCUCACCGGCUCCAUUCAACAGGGAUCUGGGCUGAGCUGGGUUCUACACAGGGGACUGCUUGCCCACUGCCUUCUUGGCCUUCUUUAUAGUUUAGCUGCAUCGGGGAUGAGGGCUUCUUAGACGGCAACUGACCUCCUGGAAAGAGAGCUGAAAGAGGCAGAGCCCAGCUGGGCCCUAGAUACCAAGCUCCUGUUUCAAAGAGCUGAACUUUUGUGUUAUUUUGAGACUGUUGUGUUAUUGAAGCAAUCAUUCCUACACCUCAGGUGCUUCCUGAAGACUUAUAUAGACCUAGAUCCUCAAGCUGAUGCCCCGAAAGACACUUUCAUUCAGAUGUAAGACUCCCACCCUCAUGGAACUGUGUAGAAGUGACAUAUUUAUUGAUCCACAGUACCUGUGCAGAUAUGAAGGUAGACACACCCAGACACAUAUGGCUGUUUGUGUUGAACCCCAGCCCCAAUGGGACUCUCCCAGUCACUCUUUCCAAAACUCUUGACUGACUCCAGAGCAAAACAUAACAAUAAACUUGUUUGUGUGCAUGUACACAAAGCAAUCACACUGCAGUAAAAUCCAGAUGCUGUAGUAUUUUAUCCAAUGGCCUACAGGCAGAGGGGUGGCCUGACCAUAAUGGAAUCUGCCUCCAGAGUCAAAGGGGAAGUUUCUGGAACCUCCUCCCACCCCAGUGAGACUUCAAGAGGUCAUGGAAAAGUUCCUGGUUCCUAGUAGGAACAGCUUGCUGAGAAAGUAGCUUUUAUGUGAUGCAGAUUCUCUGGGAGUGAUCCAAUCAUUCGAAGUCUUUAUUGGUCAAAUGAUACAGAAGCCCAGAGAGGUGAGGGAACCCGACCAAGGUCAGCAAGCUGGAGGGGGACAGAGAACCUCAUGAAACUCAGAAGUCCUCCUCUCCAGCCCAGCCACUCUCCAAACAUAUCCUCCCUCGGUGUGACUGUUGCCUGACGAGUCAGGAUUAGCAACCCUCAAGUGCUGAUACUCACAUUUCUGCAAGGAUUACAGAGAGAAAAGGAGAGAUGGGGAAGCAAGAAAGAAACAAAGCUCAUGAAGAUGACAAGGAGAGAAUUAUGAUGGGUCCUUGAUGGAGGCUGAACUAGAUCAUUGUGAAUCUGAAGUCACCCCCACUUUGCACAUAGGCAAACAAAGCAGCUAUUGGCAUUCAUCUCAGAGGAAAUGACAGACUUGGAAUUUUUAUGGAGCACCCGACUGAGCAAGCCACUAACUGCAGCUCUCACAAAGUGAUAAGAGUGUAGCUGAGCAGCCACCAGCCAAGACUUCACCUCUGAGUCCUCAACAAGGACAGAGCACAUGCACUUAAACUACAGCAAACCUGAUGGGCAUCUGUAAGUCACAUGCUUUUCUUCUCCGGGACAGCCAAGGGACUCAGCAGCCUGUUGAUCGUACCCUGGUUCGAAUGGAAUGUCCUCCAAAGACCCUGACAUGAAGUUUCCAGUGGUGGCACUCGAGCUGUCCCAAAGUGGGUGUUCCCAUUCUCUGGAAUGACUGAAGUGGAGGGGAGUCUACCACAGGCUUUAUCAUCACAAUACCCUGAGAUAGUGGGGUUUAGUCUCUGAGUCAACUCCACCCAUCAAAGCAGUAUCUAGUGAGAGCUCAUCACAACUCAGUCACUCUACUGAGUACAUGGGAUAGAGGCAUGAUAAGAAUCUCUGCCAGAGUAGAAAAUCACACUGCCACUACUAUCACACACACACACACACACACACACACAGGUCCUCAGAUGAAACAAUUAUUAGUUUACUGCCCAGUCUCAGCCUUUCAGCUGUAGCUUUAGAGAAUAUGGUAGGACUGUUACUAUAACAACCAGUCCCACACUAAAGAUGGGUGCACAAGAGCUAAAGAGAUCAACUGAUCUCUACAGGAAGACAUAUCCUACUAGUGGCCGCCCCAAGGCUGGGGCUCAGGUGCUCACUAGUUCUCAUGUGGCUCUAGGCUCCAGCUCAAAGUUGGCCCUGAGCCUUAUAGUGCUGUGCUUGUAGGGAGUUGCUGAACUUGGAGUUUCAGUUAGAAAUCUCAUGCUUCCUGUAUCUAGUUCCUUGCUGGAACAACGUGCUGCGUUAGACACACCUUUCCUGAUGCGUGUGAAUCUUAUCUCAUAUCCUGUGAGACAAUAGCUGGAGUGUGACUGUAAGAUUACCAAAUGGUCACUUUCCAUAAACAAAAUCCAUCAGCCUUGCUCUGUCCUGCCAUGAGAGUUUAGCUUGAACCGACUCCAGAGGAAUUUGUUGUCAAUCAAGUUUGCGACACUCAUCAGAUAGGCUCCUGGUCGCAUUUAUAGAUGGCUUUGCUCUGUGGGUGUGUACUUUGCUUUCUGACUGUAACUGGUCCAUCCUGAGGCAUUUUGACUGAGUUGUGUGCUUUUAUAGUCCCAGGAUCUGGUUGGUCCUCCAUAUCUAGUCAAUGGCACCUUGAUUUUCCUUUGGGGACCCAACAUCUUCUACUUCUACCAUCUCUAAAUGUAUGCUAUAAUAUGAAGGUGACACACUCAACCUAGACCAAUUAGAUUCUUUAGACAUUUGAACAUCAAGCCAAACAGAUCAAGGCCAGACAUUGGCUGGGACUUAAAUAGGAAAUGUCCAUGAUUCUCUGGAGUGCUAGGAUUAAAGAUGUGCACCACCAUGCCCAACUCUAUUUUAUUUUUUAAUUAAAAUCAGUUACAACAGUUCCUUCUCUCUUCCCAGCCUCUCCCACCCUUUCUUAAAUGUGUGACCUCUUUUUCUUUAAUAAUUAUUGUUACAUAUAUAAAUAUAUUACAUAUACAAAUAUGCAAUAUAUACAUAUUAUAUGUAUGUAUGUAUGUUAGUUACCAGUAGCUCUUGAUGAAGAGUGGUGGGGUUAUCUGUAGGCUUAUCCAGUAACGAGACACAAACCGUGACUCAAUGAUCGCACAUGGAGUUUUAUUGAUGGACAGGGAAGGACAGCGGGGUUAGGAGUAACCAACCAAUGCAGAGCUGAGAGAGAGAAAGAGAAAGAGGGAAAGAGAGAGAGAGAGAGAGAGAGAGAGAGAGAGAGAGAGAGAGAGAGGGAUGAUACAAGAGAGAGAAAGGGGGGGAUGAGAUUUUCUAUUAAUCACUUUAUGUAACUCCUAUAAAUUUUACAUCUAAAACUAAUGAAUUUCAGAAUAACAUUUAUUAUAGUAUUUUAUUAAUACACCAUUAUUUGCAUUACAUUUACAUGGGUCAAACUGUAAAGUGUGGAAGGAGAUGUUUCUUGUACAUGGUAUUUAGAAUGGUUAUCUGAAAGUGAAUCUUCAUAGAUUGGCUUGAAUGUAAAUGAUAUGCACAGCUUAUCACAGCAACUCCACUGCUUAGCCAGGAUGAUGAUCUGUAGCAGUGGUUUUCAACUUGUGGGUCGCAACCCCUUUAGGACUCAACAGACCCUUUCUCAGGGGUCGCCUAAGACCACUAGAAACCACAGAUAUUUACAUUAUGAUUCAUAACAGUAGCACAAGUGCAAUUAUAAAGUAGCAACAGAAUAAUUUUAUGGUUGGGGGUCACCACAACAUGAGGAACUGUAUUAAAGGGCACAGCAUUAGGAAGGUUGAGAACCACUAAUCUACAACAUCAUCCAAUCCUUGACGUACAGGAAAACAGAGCAGCCAAGAAGGGUGUUACAAUAGGCAGAGAGCCAACUGAUCUGGCCUGUCAUUGUAGGUCAAGACCAAAGUCAUAACUGAAUGCUAUACUCUGUCCCAAAGGUCAAUUUCAGGGCAUCCUGACUAUUUAAUGCUUAACUAAGUCUAAUGUGUAGCUGAUACAAAAUUUUUGUCAUGCAAUAGUUUUCUUUAUGUAUAUGUAUAAAUAUUCCAUCAUU